AAAGACUUGCGCUAAAGGAGCGGCUGAUGUCUGAUUAGCUAGUUGGUGGGGUAAAGGCUUACCAAGGCAACGAUCAGUAGCUGGUCUGAGAGGACGACCAGCCACACUGGGACUGAGACACGGCCCAGACUCCUACGGGAGGCAGCAGUGGGGAAUUUUGGACAAUGGGCGAAAGCCUGAUCCAGCCAUGCCGCGUGAGUGAAGAAGGCCUUCGGGUUGUAAAGCUCUUUCAGCCGGAACGAAACGGUCACGGUUAAUACCCGUGACUACUGACGGUACCGGAAGAAGAAGCACCGGCUAACUACGUGCCAGCAGCCGCGGUAAUACGUAGGGUGCGAGCGUUAAUCGGAAUUACUGGGCGUAAAGCGUGCGCAGGCGGUUUUGUAAGUCAGAUGUGAAAUCCCCGGGCUUAACCUGGGAACU
rnacentral:rRNA from 1 species